rnacentral:rRNA from 1 species
UACGGGGGGGGCUAGCGUUGUUCGGAAUUACUGGGCGUAAAGGGCGCGUAGGCGGCUUAUCAAGUCAGGCGUGAAAUUCCCGGGCUCAACCUGGGGGCUGCGCUUGAUACUGAUGAGCUUGAAUGCGGGAGAGGAUAGUGGAAUUCCCAGUGUAGAGGUGAAAUUCGUAGAGAUCCGGAGGAACACCAGUGGCGAAGGCGACACGCUGGGCCAUACCUGACGCUAAAGCGCGACAGCAUGGGGAGCAAACGGG